rnacentral:lncRNA from 13 species
AUGCUUUUCAACUUUCUUUGGAGAAACCGUACCCAUUACAUUAGGAAAACUGCUGUAAUGAACACUUAUAAGAAUAGUGGACUGAAUUUUCUGGACUUUACUAUUUUAAAUAAUACUUUUAAGAUCAAUUGGAUAAAACUAUUCCUAAGAAGACCCGCUUCUAUCUGGAAUUUUAUUCCUCAUCAUGUCUUCUCUACUUUUGGUGGCCUUAACUUCAUGAAGUUUUGCAAUUAUAAUAUUGAUAAAGUUCCAGUGAAACUUUCUGCUUUUCAUCGGCAGGUUUUCUUGUCAUGGUCCUUAAUUUAUAAACACAAUUUUUCUCCACACAGAUAUUAUAUAUGGAAUAAUCGGGAUAUAUUGUAUAAAAAUACCUCUCUGUUUUUAGAAUAUUGGUUCCGAAAUAAUAUCCUAUUGGUGUGCCAACUGGUAAAUGCAGAGGGUCUUUUACUCAGUUAUAAAGAAUUCUUAUCACUUUACAAGGUCCCUGUAACACCUAAAGAUGUUGCAAUUGUUUUAGAUGCCAUUCCCUCAGGUGUUGCUAUGUUAUUCAGGAACGUGUCAAGACCUGACCCUCAGAGCCUACCUUCUGUUGACCCUGUUGACUCAUCAGUUGGAAAGAUUUGUUUCUCUUUUAGUCCAUUCAACAACAGAGCGAUAGGAUCCUUGUUUCAGCAGGAUGUUGUAUCUAUGCCUUAUUGGAAUGGAUUUAUUGAUAAUAUCUGUUGGAAAAAAGUUUGUAUGUUGCCACACACAUACCUACUUGUUAACAAAAUUAAGGAAGUUUCCUUUAAAAUGAUUUAUAAAUAUUAUCCUGCCAACCACUAUAGGAAGAAGUUUAAGGAAAACAUCAACUCAAAUGGCUCAUUUUGUAAUGACCACCCAGAAACAGUGUUGCAUCUUUUUUGGCAUUGUAUGCAUGUAAGAAAACUGUGGCAAGACAUCAGUAGGUUUAUAAUUGAACACAUUUAUGAAGAUUUUACACUAUUGUGGAGAGAUGUACUGUUUGGAUUCUUUACAUACAAUAGAAAUAAGCUGAAACAUUUUUAUGUAAUUAAUUUCAUUAUUCUUUUGGCCAAAUUUCAUAUACACAAAUGUAAAUUUACAAACAGAAAACCACAUUUUCCUACCCUACAAAAAUAA